rnacentral:rRNA from 1 species
AGUGAACGCUGGCGGUAGGCCUAACACAUGCAAGUCGAACGGCAGCACAGUAAGAGCUCGCCCUUACGGGUGGCGAGUGGCGGACGGGUGAGGAAUACAUCGGAAUCUACUUUUUCUUGGGGGAUAACGUAGGGCAACUUAUGCUAAUACCGCAUACGACCUACGGGUUAAAGCAGGGGAUCUUCGGACCUUUCGUGUUUGAAUGAGCCGAUGCCGGAUUAGCUAGUUGGCGAGGUAAAGGCCCACCAAGGCGACGAUCCGUAGCUGGUCUGAGAGGAUGAUCAGCCACACUGGAACUGAGACACGGUCCAGACUCCUACGGGAGGCAGCAGUAGGGAAUAUUGGGCAAAGGGCGCAAGCCUGAUCCAGCCAUGCCGCGUGAGUGAAGAAGGCCUUCGGGUUGUAAAGCCCUUUUGUUGGGGAAGAAAAACAGCAGGUUAAUACCCCGCUGUUCUGACGGUACCCAAAGAAAAAGCACCGGCUAACUUCGUG